GAAAAUCAAAUUGGUUCAUGUCCCUAAAAAGGUAACUAUUUUCUCGAUCCAUAGGAAGUUAAAUAGCAGCCGAGAUCUACUCCAAAAAUGGGAAAACAUAUCAUACCAGCUCCCUGAAAAUUUGUUCAUUAGGUUAGUUAUUAAAAAUGGGGGUGUUGAAAGGCAAGUGGAAUUAUUUUUCCAGUCACAAUAUCUUGGGCCUGUUGAUGAGUUAAUUCCUUUGCUCAGACAAUACUUGUUUUGCAGAAAUUUUAACUUUUUGAGAAGAGAGUUGCCACUUAAUUUUAAAAAGGAAUUAAGAAACUUUUAGAGAGUUUCUUCAAAUGAUCCAAAACAAAAAAAUCAUUUAAGUUAAGAGAUUCUGAGUAAGUAGUUCCUAUUAACGUUUUAGGAAGGUGUUAGGUACCUAAAACAUCUGCUAACUUGCGAUUAUCCAAACUGUUUGAAAACAUCUUUUGAUUAACUUCUGAAAAAGAUUAAUUUGUUGAAAUACUUGUGUAAAAUAGAUUUAGGCGACUUAGUAGGGAUUUUAACUAAGUCUAAUCAAAACUAAUAUUCAAAUAAACACAUAAAGGGGGGAGGGAGGAAAAAGUAAAGGAUUUAGGCCAUUGAGCCUAAAUCAACGAGACCUGUCCUAGUCUAGUUGGGAUUCCGACCCAUUUCACUUGUCCUAAUCUAAUUUUCGAGCCUUUGGCUCGAAUGUUGCUCCAUUUGUAUUAAAUACAACUUUGUCUUUGAGGCCUAAAUAAAUGAAACAAUAAUAAAACAACAACAAUAAAUAAACAACCACAAAUAAAUAAACAGAAAUGAGGCUUGGGUUUCGUUGCCGCUUCAAGCAUGGAACUUUAACCCAUUUCCCUUCUUCUUUUAUCUUCUUGUAUCCACAUGCGAUACAGUUUUAGAUUUUCCUUUGAGCUUAGUCUUUCAAAAUCGACUCGGAGUUAUUGGGCCUUGAUGGCCCACAAUAGACAUGCAUAGGAAAAGGAGUCCAUGUGGGACUCGGCCGUAUUCACAUGCAAAAGAAAAGUGAAGUAAUUAGCACAUGUGCUAAUGUUAAUACCUAAUGCAUGAACAAUGACAUGACUUAAAGAAUAUUUUUUAUGAAAAAUGAAAAUAAUAUUAACAUGAUUUACGUAAAAGAGAUCAUAUUGGUUUACUAAUUCCUUUUCACUCUUUUUUUCCGAGAAGGCAUCAUUUAAGUUCACCUGACUAAAACAUAUAUUUCAAAUACAUGUAUCAGGAAAUAAGUGGAAAACAUGGCUUAAUAUCAGUAAAUAAAAAACUUUUAAGACUUUUAGACCUAGAACCAAAAUUAGGCUAAGGUAAAGAAAUAUUAAUGAACGACCAUCCUAAGCGACACAAAAAUGAACUUAGAAACUUUACUUCUUGCAAAUGUAUAAGACGAGAGACUAUUAUUGAACUUAAAUGACAUUUGAACAUAAGUCCAACAUUACUAAUCAAGAGAAACAUACAAACAGACAAAUAUAAGCAAGAUCAAAGUUGACAUCUAAAAGAGAAAGGAAAAUUUGACAUUGUUGACAACUCCAAAACAAACCAGAAAAGGGAACAAGUAGCAAAUCAAAUAAAGAGAAGGAAGUUAUGUUUGCAAGCAUACUGGGGCAGUGUAUAGUAAUCCAAAACAGAAAGAAAAAUAAGCAGGAAGAACCGGACCUUUUCUAUGGCAACAUAUAAUUCGGCGGAUUUAAAAUGCCUAAGUAAUCUUAAUUAUGAUGAAGGGAUAGACCAUAUUUUACACAAUUAGCAUACAAAGAUGCACACUCUUUGCAAUCUUCAAGGUGGAUAUACUGCAAACUCUGGAUCAUUCCCUCUUUGACCAACUCUAAAUGAACUUUCGAUGGUCAAAGAAAAGAUCCUUGAAGGUUUGUAGGAUCACCAAUAUUACCAUGGACAUUCACCCACUAUUCCAUGGACUUUACGGGUCAAAAGAAUUAGAGGGCAGACCAUUAUCUAGUUAAUAUAGCAGAUUUUAGGCCAUCGGUAACAUUGAACUAGAAACAAAAUUAUCCAAACGAAACAAAAAAAACUUACUCUAAGACGACAUACUGAGACUAAAACAUGGAUAUUCAGUCAAAGAGAUAGCAAAUCAGCCUACAGUAUUCGAGUAUAAAAGUGUCAUGUUUGCGAUUAACAAAAUCUAGCAUUACAGUGAUUUCAGAGACGAAUAUGACAUCCUUUCGUCAUUAUAACUUAACACAUGGGAAAGAACAAGCAAUGACACACUCGAAAAGAAUGAAACAGUCGGAACAACUACCGAGAAAGGACUUUAAAUCAAACACAACAAGUUUUAGCAAGAUUCAGGCCCAGAAAAAAAUGCGAUAGAAGGCUUUUAGGCCCAAAUCAUGAGUUACAGAUGACUAGACAAGCGAGUGUCAUAUACAGGUAAAAGAAAACAGCACAAAAACAUGGUUCAAGCUGCAUAACAGACCAUAAAAAGAAAUUUCACAACAACUACGCGGGUAAAGCAGAUGGCAUUCAAGAAGAAAAUCCAAGGCAGUGUAAUGAGUUGACAUGAAAAUCUUGAAACCAAAAGAAUCAAUAAUGAUACUAAAAUCGGCAUAACAAAUCUCUUGUAAGCAAAAUCAAGAUAAAGUCACAAACUUUUUGAAUAAACAGUCAAGAUCACAAGAUUUCUAAAGCCUUCCCGGCUCACAGCAGACAAUUCCCAAGCAUUCUCUAUAGCUACUAGAGAUACUAACAAAUCAAUGACAAGAAGAGAACAUCGAAACUAAACAAGAAGAAAACGUCUAAACUAAAAGGAUGAUGUAUUUACCUCUUUCGAGGCAGCAAAAUGGAACUUUGAACUUUCAGAAUCAACCACCACCGAAACACGUCGACUUCCUCAUCUCCUCAGCUCCUUGAAUCCGAAAAACCCCCAAAAUUUCCGAACCUCCGAGCCUAAAAAAAAAUCCCCAAAAUUUUCUAUUGAAUUUUUUCCUCCGUUUGAGACUGUUUCUCUAGUUUUUGUUUUACCUUCUAAGAGAAAUUUUUCCAACCCCAGAAUUUUCCAACUCAAAUUUUCAACUUCCGAAUUUACAAACCCUCCAGAAUUUUUCCGCUUUUCAAAUCAGAAUUUCUCUCAAAAAGUUUCUCCCGAAUUUUUCCUAAAUCCCAACUAAGGAUUACCAACCCCCUAAAGUUUCGAACCCCAAAAUUUUCUUCGAAAAUAUUUGAACCAAAAUCGACCCCCCAAUAACAAUGACCCCAAGGGUCAUUAUAUAGAAGAUGAAAUUGUGGGUAAAUCGGAGUUUUUUGAAGGAGAUUCAAAAUUCGAAUUCAAGAGGAUUUUCCCCCAACAAACUCUACAGAAUUUCGUAUUUUUGAGAACCAUCGAGACGGGUGGACCAAUAGAAUUUUAGCCAAACCAAUUCCCUCAAAAAAACCAAUGGGAAGCCACCAAAUAUGUACGAAAUCGUACGAAUCAAACCGAGAUUUGCGGGAAUGGGACAUUGUGGAAGCCAACUCAUGCUUUUUCUAAAAGAUUCAAGGGUUUCCUUGCAAGAAUUCGCAUGGUAGGGGCACGUGAUUGAUGGGUUGAGUUCAGGUCGAUCGCGGGUCAACAGAUUCGGGUUGAGACAAAUGGGAAUUGGGUCGAUUUGGAAUUGUUUCGGGUCGAGAGGUGUUGUUGUCUGCUGAUGUUGUGAUUUGGGACCUGAUGUUGUUUGAUGUUGU
rnacentral:lncRNA from 1 species